UACGUAGGGCGCAAGCGUUGUCCGGAAUUAUUGGGCGUAAAGAGCUCGUAGGUGGCGUGUCGCGUCUGCCGUGAAAGCCCAUGGCUUAACUGUGGGUCUGCGGUGGAUACGGGCAGGCUGGAGGCUGGUAGGGGCAAGCGGAAUUCCUGGUGUAGCGGUGGAAUGCGCAGAUAUCAGGAGGAACACCGGUGGCGAAGGCGGAUCUCUGGGCCAUAACUGACGCUGAGGAGCGAAAGCAUGGGGAGCGAACAGG
rnacentral:rRNA from 1 species